GUAGGUGGAGCUCAGUGGAAGAGCACUUUCCUAGCAUGGGUGAGGCCCUGGGUUCAGUCCCCAGCAACACA
rnacentral:tRNA from 1 species